GGAAAGAGAAGGGAAAAAUAAAGUGAAAGCAGCCAUGAACCUUCAGAUGCGAUGGACUCUUCUUAUCUUAUUGUUUCUACACAACACAGAUGUCUCCUGGGCAGACAGCUUCAUCGUUGUUGGUCCUUCUAAGCCCGUCGUCACUUAUGUCGGUGAAGAUGUGGUCCUGCCAGCCUCCCUCUCACCAGCGCUUAAUGCUCAGGCCUUUGAAGUGAGGUGGUUUACA